GAUGAACGCUGGCGGCGUGCCUAAUACAUGCAAGUCGAGCGAAUGGAUUAAGAGCUUGCUCUUAUGAAGUUAGCGGCGGACGGGUGAGUAACACGUGGGUAACCUGCCCAUAAGACUGGGAUAACUCCGGGAAACCGGGGCUAAUACCGGAUAACAUUUUGAACCGCAUGGUUCGAAAUUGAAAGGCGGCUUCGGCUGUCACUUAUGGAUGGACCCGCGUCGCAUUAGCUAGUUGGUGAGGUAACGGCUCACCAAGGCAACGAUGCGUAGCCGACCUGAGAUGGUGAUCGGCCACACUGGGACUGAGACACGGCCCAGACUCCUACGGGAGGCAGCAGUAGGGAAUCUUCCGCAAUGGACGAAAGUCUGACGGAGCAACGCCGCGUGAGUGAUGAAGGCUUUCGGGUCGUAAAACUCUGUUGUUAGGGAAGAACAAGUGUUAGUUGAAUAAGCUGACACCUUGACGGUACCUAACCAGAAAGCCACGGCUAACUACGUGCCAGCCGCCGCCGUAA
rnacentral:rRNA from 1 species